GAGUUUGAUCCUGGCUCAGGAUGAACGCUAGCGGCAGGCUUAACACAUGCAAGUCGAGGGGCAGCACAGGUAGCAAUACUGGGUGGCGACCGGCAAACGGGUGCGGAACACGUACGCAAUCUACCUUUAUCUGGGGCAUAGCCCGAAGAAAUUCGGAUUAAUACCCCAUAAUAUACAUGUAAGGCAUCUUACGAGUAUUAAAACUCCGGUGGAUAGAGAUGAGCGUGCGUCCCAUUAGCUAGUUGGCAGGGUAAAGGCCUACCAAGGCGACGAUGGGUAGCUGGUGUGAGAGCACGACCAGCCACACGGGCACUGAGACACGGGCCCGACUCCUACGGGAGGCAGCAGUGAGGAAUAUUGGUCAAUGGACGCAAGUCUGAACCAGCCAUGCCGCGUGAAGGAUGAAGGCCUUCUGGGUUGUAAACUUCUUUUAUUGGGGAAGAAAACUACGGUCUCUACUGUAGCCGACGGUACCCAAGGAAUAAGCACCGGCUAACUCCGUGGCGGCAGCAUGGUCAAUACGAAGCC
rnacentral:rRNA from 1 species